GAUGAACGCUGGCGGCGUGCCUAAUACAUGCAAGUCGAGCGAACGGACGAGAAGCUUGCUUCUCUGAUGUUAGCGGCGGACGGGUGAGUAACACGUGGAUAACCUACCUAUAAGACUGGGAUAACUUCGGGAAACCGGAGCUAAUACCGGAUGAUAUUUUGAACCGCAUGGUUCAAAAGUGAAAGACGGUCUUGCUGUCACUUAUAGAUGGAUCCGCGCUGCAUUAGCUAGUUGGUAAGGUAACGGCUUACCAAGGCAACGAUGCAUAGCCGACCUGAGAGGGUGAUCGGCCACACUGGAACUGAGACACGGUCCAGACUCCUACGGGAGGCAGCAGUAGGGAAUCUCCCGCAAUGGGCGAAAGCCUGACGGAGCAACGCCGCGUGAGUGAUGAAGGUCUUCGGAUCGUAAAACUCUGUUAUUAGGGAAGAACAUAUGUGUAAGUAACUGUGCACAUCUUGACGGUACCUAAUCAGAAAGCCACGGCUAACUACGUG
rnacentral:rRNA from 1 species